UACGAAGGGGGCUAGCGUUGUUCGGAAUCACUGGGCGUAAAGCGCACGUAGGCGGCUCGUUAAGUCAGAGGUGAAAGCCUGGAGCUCAACUCCAGAACUGCCUUUGAUACUGGCGAGCUCGAGUAUGGCAGAGGUUGGUGGAACUCCGAGUGUAGAGGUGAAAUUCGUAGAUAUUCGGAAGAACACCAGUGGCGAGGCGGCCAACUGGGCCAUUACUGACGCUGACGCGCGAAAGCGUGGGGAGCAAACAGG
rnacentral:rRNA from 1 species